GACGAACGCUGGCGGCGUGCUUAACACAUGCAAGUCGAACGGAAAGGCCCUGCUUUUGUGGGGUGCUCGAGUGGCGAACGGGUGAGUAACACGUGAGUAACCUGCCCUUGACUUUGGGAUAACUUCAGGAAACUGGGGCUAAUACCGGAUAGGAGCUCCUGCUGCAUGGUGGGGGUUGGAAAGUUUCGGCGGUUGGGGAUGGACUCGCGGCUUAUCAGCUUGUUGGUGGGGUAGUGGCUUACCAAGGCUUUGACGGGUAGCCGGCCUGAGAGGGUGACCGGCACAAUGGGGAUGGGGUAAGGGCCAGACUCCCAAGGGGGGGAGGAGGGGGGAAAAAUGGAAAAAGGGGGGGAGGCCGAUGACGGAAACCCCGGGGGGGGAAGAAGGGCCUUCGGGUGGAAAACCGUUUUCCCUGGGAAGAAGGGGGGGUGAAGGGAAAUGGUUAAGAAACCACGGGUAAAUAAGUG
rnacentral:rRNA from 1 species